CUAUGUGUCACCGCAAGGUUUCUGGCUCAGACGCCAGACCGUUUUCUGCGGUUCGCCUAUCGAACCGUAACCGGCAAGGCCGGAUUUUUAACUCGCCGGUGCCUUCACCGGA
rfam:Pseudomonas sp. StFLB209 DNA, complete genome.